CCCAGACUCCUACGGGAGGCAGCAGUGAGGAAUAUUGGUCAAUGGGCGAGAGCCUGAACCAGCCAAGUCGCGUGAGGGAAGACGGUCCUAUGGAUUGUAAACCUCUUUUGCCGGGGAGCAAAAAGCGGUACGUGUACCGCAUCGAGAGUACCCGGAGAAAAAGCAUCGGCUAACUCCGUGCCAGCAGCCGCGGUAAUACGGAGGAUGCGAGCGUUAUCCGGAUUUAUUGGGUUUAAAGGGUGCGCAGGCGGGGAGUUAAGUCAGGGGUAAAAUUUCGGGGCUCAACCCCGACAAGCCGUUGAAACUGGCCUGCUAGAGUGGGCGAGAAGUAUGCGGAAUGCGUGGUGUAGCGGUGAAAUGCAUAGAUAUCACGCAGAACUCCGAUUGCGAAGGCAGCGUACCGGCGCCCAACUGACGCUGAAGCACGAAGGCGUGGGUAUCGAACAGGAUUAGAUACCCCCGUAAG
rnacentral:rRNA from 1 species